AAACAUUGGAUCUGGAAAGCCCUUCUCAUGUCCUCUAGCAGCAGCUUUGCAAAUGAAGGUCUUACAAGUUAAAAUCUGGAAGAAUUGUACAGUGCAUAGGAAUCUGUCAUCGAGAUGAGCCUUUUGUGAACACAGGGACUUCCUCUCUACUGUCAGCAAUUUUUAAUCAAAUUGCCCAGAACCAGCAUAUUUUGUCCCUCGAGUCAGAUCUGUGUUGACAAAACCAAGUCACAAUAAAUCUGCAUGUGCGGCGACCACUCAAAGAACUGAUCAAAAUUGAUCCACUGAAGGUGGAGCAGAUCAGUGCUGAAUACAAAGAGGUUGUCUCUUGCCUAAUAAGGGGAGUGUCGCAUUCUGGUUUCACCAUACUGGGACCUGAAUUAUGAAGUUCUUUG